rnacentral:rRNA from 1 species
GACGAACGCUGGCGGCGUGCUUAACACAUGCAAGUCGAACGGAAAGGCCCUGCUUUUGUUGGGUGCUCGAGUGGCGAACGGGUGAGUAACACGUGUGUAACCUGCCCUUGACUUUGGGAUAACUUCAGGAAACUGGGGCUAAUACCGGAUAGGAGCUCCUGCUGCAUGGUGGGCGUUGGAAAGUUUCGGCGGUUGGGGAUGGACUCGCGGCUUAUCCGCUUGUUGGUCGGGUAGUUGCUUACCAAGGCUUUCACGGGUAGCCGGCCUGGGAGGGGGACCGGCCACAUUGGGACUGAGAUACGGCGCAGACGCCUACGGGAGGCAGCAGUGGGGAAUAUUGCACAAUGGGCGGAAGCCUGAUGCAGCAACGCCGCGUGCGGGAUGACGGCCUUCGGGUUGUAAACCGCUGUCGCCGGUGACGAAGCGUGAGUGACGGUAAUGGGUAAAGAAGCACCGGCUAACUACGUG